CAGUCGUACCGACGGGAAAUCAACUUCUCGAGUGUCAUAGCAUGAGUGACGUUGAGCUUAACGGCCUUCGAUGCUUGUGUUGUUGGUGCUUUUGGGGUGAACUUUUCCGUAUGGUAGGUCAGCAUCGAUUUUGAUCGUCAUAAAAUAAUCGGGGGAAUGUAGCUUCGGCUUCGUAUCGGAGUGUUUAUAGCCCUUGGUAGAUGUGACGAUUGGGAUCGAGGAUUGCAACGAAUUCCCUUUUGGGCUAUCCGUCUGACCUCUGAAAGUCGCUCGGGUGUUGAAAGCUUGCUUAUGGCUAUUCGAGUUGGCAAUCAACAGGGUAGAACGUGAUUAUA
rnacentral:rRNA from 1 species